rnacentral:rRNA from 1 species
GGCAUGGCCGGCUGCUAACACAUGCAGUCGACGCGGGUUUUCGGACCCGAGUGGCGGACGGGUGAGUAACGCGUAGGAAUCUACCCAGUAGCGGGGGAUAACCCGAGGAAACUCGGGCUAAUACCGCAUACGCUCUACGGAGGAAAGAAGGCCGGGGAAAGAUUUAUCGCCAAAAGAUCAGCCCGCGUUAGAUUAGCUAGUUGGUGAGGUAACGGCUCACCAAGGCGACGAUCUGUAGCUGGUCUGAGAGGACGACCAGCCACACUGGAACUGAGACACGGUCCAGACUCCUACGGGAGGCAGCAGUGGGGAAUAUUGGACAAUGGAGGAAACUCUGAUCCAGCGAUGCCGCGUGAAUGAUGAAGGCUUUAGGGUUGUAAAGUUCUUUCAGUAGGGAAGAUAAUGACGGUACCUACAGAAGAAGCCCCGGCUAACUCCGUGCCAGCAGCCGCGGUAAUACGGAGGGGGCUAGCGUUACUCGGAAUUACUGGGCGUAAAGCGCGCGUAGGCGGUCAACCAAGUUGGGAGUGAAAUCCCGAGGCUUAACCUCGGAACUGCUCUCAAAACUGGUAGACUAGAGAUUGGUAGAGGAUAGUGGAAUUCCUAGUGUAGAGGUGAAAUUCGUAGAUAUUAGGAGGAACACCAGUGGCGAAGGCGACUGUCUGGGCCAAUACUGACGCUAAGGCGCGAAAGCGUGGGGAGCAAACAGGAUUAGAUACCCUGGUAGUCCACGCCGUAAACGAUGAGUGCUAGUCGUCGGGACAUAAGUUUCCGGUGACGUAGCUAACGCGUUAAGCACUCCGCCUGGGGACUACGGCCGCAAGGCUAAAACUCAAAGGAAUUGACGGGGACCCGCACAAGCGGUGGAGCAUGUGGUUUAAUUCGAUGCAACGCGAAGAACCUUACCUACCCUUGACAUCCCGAUCGCGGGCACAGAGAUGUGUCUUUCAGCUUGGCUGGAUCGGUGACAGGUGCUGCACGGCUGUCGUCAGCUCGUGUCGUGAGAUGUUGGGUUAAGUCCCGCACGAGCGCCACCCUUGUCCCUUGUUGCCAGCAGGUUAUGCUGGGCACUCUAGGAACUGGCGGGUGAUAAACCGGAGAAGAGGGGGGAGGACGUCAAGUCUUCAUGGGCCCUUAUGGGCUGGGGCUUACUCACCUGCCUACAAAGGCGCGCGCACAAUUGGCAGCGGCACUUCUCUCUGAGAGGGUAGGGAAUUCUCUCAAAACACGGCCCCUCAGUUUCACGGGAAUUAGGAAUCUUCUCACAUCUCCGAGAGU